rnacentral:rRNA from 1 species
AUUGAACGCUGGCGGCAGGCCUAACACAUGCAAGUCGAGCGGCGCGGCGAACGGGUGAGUAAUGCCUAGGAAUCUGCCCGGUAGUGUGGGAUAACGUCCGGAAACGGGCGCUAAUACCGCAUACUAUCAGACGCGCUUAGGUCGGAUUAGCUAGUUGGUGAGGUACAGGCCUACCAAGGCGACGAUCCGUAACUGGUCUGAGAGGAUGAUCAGUCACACUGGGACUGAGACACGGUCCAGACUCCUACGGGAGGCAGCAGUAGGGAAUAUUGGACAAUGGACGAAAGCCUGAUCCAGCCAUGCCGCGUGUGUGAAGAAGGUCUUCGGAUUGUAAAGCACUUUAAGUUGGGAGGCGUUACCAACAGAAUAAGCCCCGGCUAACUUCGUGCCAGCAGCCGCGGUAAUAC